rnacentral:rRNA from 1 species
UGAAUACGAGACGCUAAGGCGUCGAAGUAGUGUAUGUCAUACUUCCAAGAAAAGCUUGCACUGUCAUAGAUAAAAAACGCCUGUACCAUAACCGACACAGGUGGGUAGGUAGAGUAUACUAAGGGGCGCGAGAUAACUCUCUCUAAGGAACUCGGCAAAAUAACUCCGUAACUUCGGGAGAAGGAGUGCCUUAUUCGUAAGGUUGCAAUAACAAGAUCCAAGCAACUGUUUAUCAAAAACACAGGUCUCCGCUAAGUCGUAAGACGAUGUAUGGGGGCUGACGCCUGCCCAGUGCCAGAAGGUUAAAGAAGUUGGUUAGCAAUUGCGAAGCUGAUAACUGAAGCCCUGGUGAACGGCGGCCGUAAUGAUAACGGUCCUAAGGUAGCGAAAUUCCUUGUCGGGUAAGUUCCGACCCGCACGAAAGGCGUAAUGAUUUGGAUACUGUCUCGGAGAGGGGCUCGGUGAAAUAGACUUGUCUGUGAAGAUGCGGACUACCUGCACCAGGACAGAAAGACCCUAUGAAGCUUUACUGUAACUUGAAAUUGAAAUUGGACUUUAUUCGCGCAGUAUAGGUGGGAGGCGUUGAUUAUAAUCUUGUGGGAUUAUUGGAGCCAUCAGUGAGAUACCACUCUUGUAAUGUUAGAUUUCUAACUUUGAAUCAUUAUCUGGUCAAAGAACAGUUUCAGGCGGGCAGUUUGACUGGGGCGGUCGCCUCCUAAACGGUAACGGAGGCGUACAAAGGUUUCCUCUGAACGGUUAGAAAUCGUAUCUAGAGUGUAAAGGCAUAAGGAAGCUUGACUGUGAGACCUACAAGUCGAGCAGGGACGAAAGUCGGUCUUAGUGAUCUGACGGUACUGAGUGGAAAGGCCGUCACUCAACGGAUAAAAGUUACUCUAGGAUAACAGGCUGAUCUCCCCCAAGAGUUCACAUCGACGGGGAGGUUUGGCACCUCGAUGUCGGCUCAUCGCAUCCUGGGGCGGUAGUACGUCCCAAGGGUUGGGCUGUUCGCCCAUGAAAGCGGUACGCGAGCUGGGUUCAGAACGUCGUGAGACAGUUCGGUCCAUAUCCGGUGUAGGCGUUAGAAUAUUGAGAGGAGCCUUCUUUAGUACGAGAGGACCGAGAAGGACAUACCUCUGGUGUACCAGUUAUCGUGCCAACGGUAAACGCUGGGUAGCUAUGUAUGGAGUGGAUAACCGCUGAAAGCAUCUAAGUGGGAAGCCCACCUCAAGAUAAGUAUUCUCA